CGGAGGAUCCAAGCGUUAUCCGGAUUUAUUGGGUUUAAAGGGUGCGUAGGCGGCCUAUUAAGUCAGGGGUGAAAGACGGUAGCUUAACUAUCGCAGUGCCUUUGAUACUGAUGGGCUUGAAUGAACUAGAGGUAGGCGGAAUGUGACAAGUAGCGGUGAAAUGCAUAGAUAUGUCACAGAACACCAAUUGCGAAGGCAGCUUACUAUGGUUUUAUUGACGCUGAGGCACGAAAGCGUGGGGAUCAAACAGGAUUAGAUACCCUGGUAGUCCACGCCCUAAACGAUGAACACUCGAUGUUAGCGAUAUACAGUUAGCGUCCAAGCGAAAGCGUUAAGUAAUCCACCUGGGGAGUACGCCGGCAACGGUG
rnacentral:rRNA from 1 species